UUGCUCAGGUUAGCAGCACAUGUACUAAAAUUGGAACAAUAUAGUACAGAGAAGAUUUGCAUGGCCACUGCACAAAGAAGACUCAUAACUUUGUAGAGUAUUUCAUAUUUUU
ensembl:snRNA U6 U6 spliceosomal RNA